GAACAGCGAGAGAAGCGGCAGCGGCUGAGGAGGGAACGAACUGAGGGGGGGGCGGUACCGGGACAGGAGCCCAGACCCCUCCCCAAAGGUUGGAGCCCCAAAGAGGAGCUGGAAUAUCGGCACCCCCUGGGACCUGAUGGCAAAAAGGCCACGCAGGUGCCGCUGCCCCCCAGGUACAGCCCCCGUUACGUCGAGGCCGCCUGGUACCAAUGGUGGGAGAGGGGAGGG